GACCCGUUCGGCACCUUACGAAAAAUCAAAGUUUUUGGGUUCUNNNNGAACUUAAGCAUAUCAAUAAGCGGAGGAAAAGAAACCAACAGGGAUUGCCUCAGUAACGGCGAGUGAAGCGGCAACAGCUCAAAUUUGAAAUCUGACUUCGGUCCGAGUUGUAAUUUGUAGAGGGAAUUUGGAAAGCGACGCUGGCCUAAGUCCCUUGGAACAGGGCGUCAUAGAGGGUGAGAAUCCCGUAUGUGGCCAGAGGUCAAUUUCAUGUCAAAUCCCUUCGACGAGUCGAGUUGUUUGGGAAUGCAGCUCAAAAUGGGUGGUAAAUUUCAUCUAAAGCUAAAUACCGGCCAGAGACCGAUAGCGCACAAGUAGAGUGAUCGAAAGAUGAAAAGCACUUUGGAAAGAGAGUUAAACAGUACGUGAAAUUGUUGAAAGGGAAGCGCUUGCCAUUAGACCGAUUCCCCGGUUGCAGUCGGAGGCCACUCUAGACGUAAAGCACCGGGAUUUCGGCCAGCAUCGGUUUGGGUGGUUUGACAAAGAUGCACUGAACGUGGCUCCUCGGAGUGUUAUAGCUGUGCGUGUAAUGAAACCUACCCGGACCGAGGACCGCGCUUCGGCUUAGGAUGCUGGCGUAAU
rnacentral:rRNA from 1 species